rnacentral:rRNA from 1 species
CACGUAGGGUGCGAGCGUUGUCCGGAAUUAUUGGGCGUAAAGAGCUCGUAGGCGGUGUGUCGCGUCGGCCGUGAAAACCUGCAGCUUAACUGUGGGCUUGCGGUCGAUACGGGCAUCACUGGAGUUCGGCAGGGGAGACUGGAAUUCCUGGUGUAGCGGUGAAAUGCGCAGAUAUCAGGAAGAACACCCGUGGCGAAGGCGGCUCUCUGGGACGGUACUGACGCUGAGACGCGAAAGCGUGGGGAGCGGACAGG